UACGUAGGGUGCGAGCGUUAAUCGGAAUUACUGGGCGUAAAGCGUGCGCAGGCGGUUUUGUAAGCCAGAUGUGAAAUCUCCGGGCUUAACCUGGGAAUGGCAUUUGGGACUGCAAGGCUUGAGUGCGGCAGAGGAGACUAGAAUUCCUGGUGUAGCAGUGAAAUGCGUAGAUAUCAGGAGGAAUACCGAUGGCGAAGGCAGGUCUCUGGGCUGACACUGACGCUCAUGCACGAAAGCGUGGGGAGCAAACAGG
rnacentral:rRNA from 1 species